CAGCACCUCAAGUGGUCAGGAUGAUUAUUGGGCCUAAAGCAUCCGUAGCCGGCGCUGUAAGUUUUCGGUUAAAUCUGUACGCUCAACGUACAGGCUGCCGGGAAUACUGCAGCGCUAGGGAGUGGGAGAGGUAGACGGUACUCGGUAGGAAGGGGUAAAAUCCUUUGAUCUAUUGAUGACCACCUGUGGCGAAGGCGGUCUACCAGAACACGUCCGACGGUGAGGGAUGAAAGCCAGGGGAGCAAACCGGAUUAGAUACCCGAGUAGUCC
rnacentral:rRNA from 1 species